UAUGCUCUCAGAGCCCAGGCUGUCCACACCACCCCAGAUGUUUCUCGCCAGCACUGAGCAGAAGGGAAGGAUCAUCUUCCUCAAGCUGCUGUCACUCUCAUGCAGCCUAACAGAAUCAAAUCCAUGAAGCAGUGGAAAUUUCUGAAGAUCACUUUACCAAAUAUAAAAAUGAUGGUGAAUUCAAAGUGUGUUUGACCAGGAAGAGUACCGUGACUACAUGUAUCGACUUUGCAGAAAAGAGUGUUAUUUGCUAGUUUGUCAGCUGAAAUAUCUGACUUUUGCUUUAGUAAACAUAUCAUCUGGCUUUUGCUUUAGUAUCUUUCGUGUAAGUGUCAUGGUUACACUGAAGAUGAGCACUACUUAAAUAAGUUCAGGCAGUGCCCAAUUGCAUGCAAAGUAUGAUUCAAAGCUUUUAUGGGUAAAAGCUAUGCCAUGGCAACUUUGCCAAUCACCUGUGUAUUGAAGUGCUCAUGCAGACCCACCAUUGAGGGUGUUUCUCAAGCACAACCUUCUGGCACCAGCGAACUAGAAAUAGGUUUACUAACACUGUGGACAGUUGUUGAUCUGCUGAGUCAUGACAGAAAAUGUACAGUAGCAAGGGGUAGCUUACGUUCCACCAGUACAUAUUUCUAAUUUAUGUUUUUGUCACCCAAGAAGUCCGUGAUAAAAAACAUUUCUUGCACAAUGGAAUUGGCAUGGGAUUGUAUUAAUUUUUCUUUUUCUUGAUUGUAUUCCAACAAGCCUAGUAAAACUUUAAGAGAUCAGGGAUAAGUUUUAAAAAAAAUUAAGGGCUUGCUCUUUUGUGAUGCCUAAGCAUAUCAAGUGAAAGGAAGCUAUAUUCUCUGAAACCACAUGAAUAUAAUAAUUUCUUAUAACACAAUAUUCAGGAAAAGGUAUUUCUGUGCUAAUUGCUCCUCAUAUUCUCUUCUACAAAUUCAUCCCCUUUUUUUUCUUUUUAUAGCAGAUCUAGACAUUUGGAUCUUUAAAACCAAUUUAGUUAUGUAAAUGGCAGAUUGAAGUGCCUUUUUUUCAGAGUUUGAGCAAUGCUAGUUAUUUAUCAGUAUUCUGCCAAUACUGUCACAAGACUUUUCAAUGCAGAUUAUUAUCUUUCAUGGACAGUGCCUUUAUUAUUUUUUGUAUGGUAGAGAUAAUAUUAGUGAAUAGAUUAAGAGGAGUUUUAGUUCUCCACCUUAAUUUUCAAUUUUAUUUUUUAUCCUUUCCUUUGCUCCACAAGUUAAAAUCAACAUCGCUGCGUCAAGAAGAUUUGCUGUCAGCAAUCUACUUCAUGGAUGCCAAGAGUGGCACAUAGGUACAGUGUGAACAGCAAAGAACAGGGCUAAUUGAGUACUGGGAGUUAAAACCUUUAAGGAAGAAAAAUAAUCGUGACAAAAUUAGAGUGACGGAUAAUCUUUCUUUUCAGAGCCACAAUACAGCUCAUAAGCAAAGAAACAAAUCUAUUUUGUUUUGUGGCUAUGUAAUGCAUAUAUUUUUGCAUAAAAUAUUAACUGAAUGGUUCAAUAAUUUCCUUACUAAAUCAGUUACAAGUGACCUCCAAAUGGCUACCUUUAUUUAGUGCACAAAUCCUUUCAUAGGAAUUAAAAAUAGAGUGAAAAGAAGAAAAACAAUUAGCCUGGCAUGGAUAGGAUAGAUAAACACUAGGACACAGAAAGGAUGUUUCAGAAAGUUACAAAAUUGCAACAGGGAGAGUUUAUGUGUCAACAUAGCCAAGAGGUUUAAAAAGGUAUUUCAUUCCACUGGUGUUAUU